CUAAUGGGAAAUAUUUCGGAACAUUGAGACGUCGGAACAACGAGGCGUCGGAAUUACGGCAUGGCACCCAAAGGACGUGUGCUUGAUCAUCCAUGAUUCUGAAGGAGAGUCGCCUGCCAGUGAGUCUUCAGGUAGCCUCACGGAUACACUUUCCCUGUUGAGUAGUCAGGGUAGUGAGGUCGAACUUAGCCAAAGCAAAAGGGCAUGCUUGGGGACAGAGAUGUUGCAGUGUGUUACAGCGAAAGAUUUGGUGAAGAAUGUUCUGCUGGAGAAGCCUGGUGGUGCAACAGUCCUGAAGGAGUACGAGAACACUGGGAAAAUAUGUGACAGUUCCAGACGGCAGAUGGUGAACAUUUUAGCAGCACACAUGACAGAAAAAGAGGGGAGCAUUUCUAUGAUGCCCAAAGUGGAUCAGGCUUCCUGGCUUGGAGGCUCAAGACUAUUCAACGGAAGACCAAAUUUCAUCCCGAGUCAUCUAGUUCCCCUAAGGCUGCUGUUGUGAUGGGAGGUGGUCCAACACUCGUCAGGGACAACAGUCAAGAAGAUCAGCUUCAGGAUGAGCAAUGCAAAGAGGCCAUUUCCUUGAUGACUCAUACCAACGAGCGUGACACCAUCUUCCAGAAGAUGCAAGAAACCUUCCAUUUCCGGCAGGGGCUCAUCCACAAUCCUGAAACCUCGGCAUCAGUCCUGUCCAUGUUCCCAAGACUUUUGGACACAAAAUGAUUGGUUCUUCAAGACUUCAGCCUUCUCUUCGGAGCAGAAACAGCAGCCAGACUUCUGGAAAAGUGGCCCUCAUACAAACCAAAGUUGAUAAAAGAAGCCGCUGCCCUGGUACAGACCCCGUUAUUGCAACACCUUUUACAAUCUGCCAGAGGGGAACAAGUGGAGUCAUCUGCAGAUUACCGCCCAGGUUGGGACAGCGAUAUGUCCACUUUACUCCUCCUGUUACACAUCCUGUCACCUCAGCCAGCUGGGAGGAAAAGGGGUCACAAGAUCAGUGCAAGGGAUGCCAUUGACCACCUGGUAAUUUUUCACAAGAGUCUGGAUGAACAUUUGGAUUCUGAUGAACGUCAACAGCCGUAUCUGCUUGCCUCUGGAACCACCAAACGAGCCAUGAGCGCCUUCUACAUCGCCAUGGAUAAGAAGCUCAUCCCAUGCCAGGGAAACACAUCUCUUGCAGCAUUCGAUGAACUUUUCAAGGUCCAUUUUGUCUUCAGUUUGAAUUACGAUGAGUCUUUUCGCAGCAUGUACACGUUUCUCCAGACAACGAUCUACAACAUUGAUGUGGGAUCAACCAAAGAGAGUCCGAAACUAAAAGAGUUGCGAGCAAAGUUGCUGCAUGAUGUUUAGGUGUUACAUUUGUAGGAAACUACUUGGCUCUAGUGGGGCCUUGGUUCAACACCUUAAACUGUUACAUGGGUUGUAUCCUGGCAAAAAGUUAAAUUUAAUAUGUGCUCAGGAUAGUUGUUGCUUAGAAUUUAGAAGUUACUCUGGUUUCCGCAAACACCUGAAACGUGUACACUGCAACAUUAAUGUGACUGAACCAGGUUUGACAGAUGAACCCCAACCUAGCACAUCUUUAGGUACGCCGGCUCUGCCUUCAGAUGUGCCCCCUCUGUCCAAACUUCUGACUUGAAUCCUGACUUAAUCAAUAAAAGGGAAUGUUCUUUAGAUUCAAAACAUAUGUGUGCUUCUGUUAUUGCGAAGUUGCAGGGUAGUGGUGUGGCAAAUACUGUUAUUUUGUCAGUUGUAGAAAGUAUGGAGGAAUGUUUAAAUGAUAUCCACACUUCAAUAACGCGUCAGGUCUUAGAGGUCGUGCCAGAGGGUAACCCGAGCAGAAGUGCACUAGAGGAAGUGUUAGAAAAUUUGGAGAACCCUUUUGCUGAUCUCAACACCGAUAGCAAAUGGAAAAAAUAUUUUUAUUCCAAAUGGGGAGUUGUACAACCUGUAGAGGUGCAUUUAGGAGUAAGAUACGAUUCUAAGAUAAACAGAAUUUCUGGAAAUUACGAACAGGUACCAGUUAACGACACUUUCAUCUAUGUGCCUUUGUUUAAGGCACACCUGUGCCACACCUUGAAGGUGUGGCACAAUAUGAGGUUAAGCUACUGUUUGACUACCUGGCAAAGAAUUUCCUAUCCAGUGAACACAUAUUAUUGAGAAUUUAUGGUUAUAGCUAUGGAUACUUGGACCGUAAGAACAGGCCAACAAAGAUCAAUAUUCAUGGAAAUGGGCUUGGUCUUAAUGCCAGUCAAACAAUGUGUCUUUUGAGAAAUAUUCCACUCAUCUUUGCCAAUGUUGUUCCAGAAAAUGAUAAUCAUUGGAAUCUACUGUUGCUUCUGCUUGAUAUUAUGUACAUAGUCUUCUCACCUAACAUCUCUGAGGGAAUGACUGUCUACUUGAGGUCUCUUAUUGCCGAACAUCAUACGUUAUUCAAACAAAUUUACCCCACACACAAUCUUAUUCCCAAACAUCAUUUAAUGAUCCAUUAUCCCUCUGUUAUUAGAAAAAUCGGUCCUUUACUUCAUGUCUGGACCAUGAGAUAUGAAGCGAAGCACAGAUUUUUCAAAUCUAGCACUAAAAACUUAAAAAAUGUGACAGUCUUUAGCAUCAAAACAUCAGUUAGCUAUUGCCUAUCAUUGGGAGGCGUUCACGGUUAGUGGUAUUGAAUCACGACCAGUAAAAACCCAAAUGUUAAGUGAAUUAGAUGAAGAAGAGCUGGUCUGUGAAUAUUUUCAACUCGAUAGGUCCUCUACUUUAUCUUUUACUGCAUGGGUGAAAUGCGACGGCAUUGACUAUCACAUAGGAUCUGCUGUGUGUGUAGAUGUUGAGGAAGAAAUGCCAUUGUUUGGUAAAAUUGUUUUAAUAAUCCUAAAAAAAGAGGCUAUACAUUUUGUUCUUAUUGAGUUAAAUUCUGUGUAUGUUGAGCAUCUCCAUGCCUUUCAAGUUGGAGAAAUGUACCAUAUGUACAUUGUAAAUCGAGAUGAUUUGCAGCAUCACAAGCCUUUCGACCUGCAGAUGUCCUAUGGCUGUGACGCAUUGUUUUAUAUUGUACCUGACUGCUGCAUUUUGUAAGAUGGAGUUGCUGCUGAAUUUUGUAAGAUGAGUCAUGGUGCGAUUUUGUCAGAUGAGAUUUAAUUAAAAAAAGUCUAAUAUAA